AUACGUAGGGGGCAAGCGUUGUCCGGAAUUAUUGGGCGUAAAGCGCGCGCAGGCGGUCUUUUAAGUCUGAUGUGAAAUCUCGCGGCUCAACCGCGAGCGGUCAUUGGAAACUGGGAGACUUGAGUAUAGGAGAGGAAAGUGGAAUUCCACGUGUAGCGGUGAAAUGCGUAGAGAUGUGGAGGAACACCAGUGGCGAAGGCGACUUUCUGGCCUAUAACUGACGCUGAGGCGCGAAAGCGUGGGGAGCAAACAGGAUUAGAUACCCUGGUAGUCCACGCCGUAAACGAUGAGUGCUAGGUGUUAGGGGUUUCGAUACCCUUAGUGCCGGCGUUAACACAUUAAGCACUCCGCCUGGGGAGUACGGCCGCAAGGCUGAA
rnacentral:rRNA from 1 species